UACGGAGGGUGCAAACGUUGCUCGGAAUCAUUGGGCGUAAAGCGCACGUAGGCGGAUUGUUAAGUCAGGGGUGAAAUCCUGGAGCUCAACUCCAGAACUGCCUUUGAUACUGGCGAUCUUGAGUCCGGGAGAGGUGAGUGGAACUGCGAGUGUAGAGGUGAAAUUCGUAGAUAUUCGCAAGAACACCAGUGGCGAAGGCGGCUCACUGGCCCGGUACUGACGCUGAGGUGCGAAAGCGUGGGGAGCAAACAGG
rnacentral:rRNA from 1 species